rnacentral:rRNA from 1 species
AUUGAACGCUGGCGGCAGGCCUAACACAUGCAAGUCGAACGGUUACAGGAAGAUGCUUGCUUCUUUCCGCGCGGGAGGCGGGAGUGAGAGUUAUGUCUGUGACACUGCCUGGUGGAGAGGGAUCACUACUGGAAACGGUAGCUACUACCGCCUAACGUCGCAAGACCAAGGAGGGUGACCCUCCAGCCUCUCACCUUCGCCUAGGUCGGAUUAGCUAGUGGGUGGGGUAAAGGCUCACCUAGGCGACGAUCCGUAGCUGGUCUGAGAGGAUGAGCAGCCACACUGGAACUGAGACACGGUCCAGACUCCUACGGGAGGCAGCAGUGGGGAAUAUUGGACAAUGGGCGAAAGCCUGAUGCAGCCAUGCCGCGUGUAUGAAGAAGGUCUUCGGGUUGUAAAGUACUUUCAGCGGGGAGGAAGGGAGGAAAGUUAAUACCUUUGCUUAUUGACGUUACCCGCAGAAGAAGCACCGGCUAACUCCGUG